rnacentral:rRNA from 1 species
AAUACAUGCAAGUCGAGGGGCAGCAUGAGUAGCAAUACUGAUGGCGACCGGCAACGGGUGCGGAACACGUACAGAACCUUCCUUCGAGCGGGAAUAGGCCCGGAGAAAUCCGGGUUAAUACCCCAUAGCAAAUUGAAAAGGCAUCUUUUUAAUUUUAAAGAUUUAUCACUUGAAGAUGGCUGUGCGCCUGAUUAGGCAGUUGGCGGGUAACGGCCCACCAAACCUACGAUCAGUAACUGGCGUGAGAGCGCGACCAGUCACACGGGCACUGAGACACGGGCCCGACUCCUACGGGAGGCAGCAGUAAGGAAUAUUGGUCAAUGGACGCAAGUCUGAACCAGCCAUGCCGCCGUGGAGGAUGAAGGUCCUCUGGAUUGUAAACUUCUUUUAUUUGGGAAGAAAUGUGAGAAUUCUUUUCACUUGACGGUACCAGAUGAAUAAGCACCGGCUAACUCCGUGCCAGCCGCCGC